rnacentral:piRNA from 1 species
UCCAUUCUGGAAUUUUUCGCUGGCUUGAU